rnacentral:tRNA from 1 species
GUCGGGGUAGCCAAACCUGGUUAAGGCGCGAGCCUGCUAAGCUCGUGGCCCUUACGGGCCGUGCGGGUUCAAAUCCCGCCCCCGACG